CCUUGCCCCCGUCCGCUUGCAGCGCCCGGCGCCCGCCCAGGAGCGCGCGGCAGGGGUGCUGGGAUAUAACGGUGAGCAAGAGAGACCACGGCCCUUGUUCCCGCUGAUCCUGCAGCCCAGUGGAUGGAGUCCACAGUACCUAGACCUGCCAGGAAAGACAGAAAUUUUCCUGAUGGUUGGUCCAAACAGGGACUCCCGGGUGGACUGAGGGAUGGCUGGCUUUUCCUCAGUUCAUGCAUCUCUGUGGUAGCCACAGGCAGUCCCCAGAAGACCUGGAGAAUGAGAGCCCUGAGGUCUACAGGUUGCUGCUAGAAAUAUUUUAGCCCCUCCAGAAAACAGAAUGCAGCUGCCACACAAGUUUGUAAGGACUCUGGGCGCCCGCUGACCGCGCGCUGGCCGCCUCGCACUUCGCUCCAGGUGGCCGCCCGGGGCGCUGCCAUAGCAACGGCCUGGACGCCCAGACCUUAGGCCGCCGCCGCCGGGACCCGGCCUUCUCCCGCUCCCGAAGGGUGGGGCGGCGGCGGCCCGGGAGGCGGCCCGGGCCGGAAAGACGGGACUGCCCCCUCCCCCGAUGCCAGCGGAGGCCGCGGAUUUGCUUCGGAGCAUGCCCUUUCAGAAGCACGUCUACUACCCGCUCGCGGCCGCCGGCGGCCUGGAGGGACCCGACGCCUCCA